GCAUUAAUGGGGUAGUGGUAACCUGGGUCGUUGCCAUGCGAUGAGAUGUGUAUUCGACCCGCCGGGGGUUCGAUUCCCCCUUAAUGCA